GCCUACUCUUAAAGGACCACGUCUUAUCCUUUGUCUCCUGAAAGCAUAGCCCAGAACACAGGAGACUCUCCACCAGUAUUUGUGUACUGAAUAAAGGAAUGAAGGAAACCUUCAGGCCUUCCCUCCUCAGAAGAAUCCUAAAAGGAACUUGAUUCAGGGAAAGACUUCAACUCAAAGGGGCUGGUAGGCCAUUUUAAAUGGAACAGAUGGAAGGCCAUCUUCAAAGGUACUGCCUACCUGAACCUGCCUUGUCCCAAAGGACACACUUCAAUCUGGGGAGAGUUUAAAGUUGUAGACAUAUCCAUUUUCAUUUAAGGAAUAUGAAGAUCAGGGAGGCAAAAUAUAGAGAUAUAGAGAGGAAAAACUGAGAGAUGAUCAGAAAUUCAGACGCAUUCGGAAUGAGCACCCUUGACCAUACCAAGAACAAAGACUCUAUAAAAAUGUGAAGUCUUAUUAUUGUUCAUCCAUGUUCUACGUGGGAUCCACCCAAGACAUUGAAAACUGUACAGAACAGGGUGAAAUUGAAUCAGAUCAUUCUGUACUCCUAACAAGGUCCACCCCAUGAGAGACUUGCAGCAGAAUUAAUGACACUGUAUAUUUUCCUCUACUAACAACAACAAGAACAACAACAACAACAAUCUAGGAAAAUCAAAGGCAGCCCGACAUGGAAAAAAACACAAAAUGAAUAUUUGGAUUACAAAUAGUGUGAUGGGAAGAACACACUGCCAAAAGUCCACCUAGUAUGUUGAAAUUACUGUUUCUAGCACAUAUAAGAUUUGCUGCCAAUUUGUACUGACUUCUGAAAAAUACUUUAUCCAUUGUCUUCUUACAUCAGAAUCAACUCCCUAAAUUCUUCAGCACUGGCUUUGUAAACUGGUUUCUGGUCUUUGUUUCUGUCAACUUACCUAUAAAAGGAUACAAAAACUGAAGAACAGAGAGGAGCAGAUACCCUGGAAAGCCGAAAGUUUUAUUGACCAAAGACUGAGUCUCGGAAUGUUUUGAUUGUGGAGUUUAUAGAGUUCAGGCUGAAGUUUUAUAAAAAUAACUUGCAGCAGCAUGGAGGACUGAUGAGAAAGUAGACAGAUGCUGGAAGCAGGAAAACUGAACAGCAGGUCACUGGCCAAGGAGAAUCAAAGAGCUAGAUGCUGAGAAUAAUGCAGCCAUAACGUGAAAUCUUUUUGAGGCUCCGUGGUGGUCUUAAAAUAUAUCCACAAAUUUUCUGACAUCCUCUCUUCAAGAAGUGGAGCUUAAUUCCCUUUCCUUUGAGUGCAGACCACUCACUCUGGGAGAAAGCAACUGGCUAUGUCAUGAGGAAAUUGAAACCACCUAUGGAGAAAGGCCCACAUGAAUUCUGUAAGUCUGCUACGGUGACAUUUCUGGUUAGGAGUCAGAGUGGAUGGGACACUGAGCAAUAAGAAUGCAGAGACAUGAUGGCUGAAGCUGGAGCUUUUCCCUGAAGCAACCACCUGUUGGAAACUUCAUGUUGAAGAUGACUGAAUAAUAAGACAGAGGGGUCUGGGUCCCUGGUGGAUAUUCCAGAUCUGGGUGUUCGUGGAGAUAUGAGAAAGCAAUAAACUUCAAUUUUGCUUAAAUAGCUGUUACUUGGGGCAUUCUGUCAUUUAUGGACA
rnacentral:lncRNA from 1 species